rnacentral:rRNA from 1 species
UGGGGAAUUUUGGACAAUGGGCGCAAGCCUGAUCCAGCCAUGCCGCGUGCGGGGAGAAGGCCUUCGGGUUGUAAACCGCUUUUGUCAGGGAAGAAAUCUUCUGAGUUAAUACCUCGGGAGGAUGACGGUACCUGAAGAAUAAGCACCGGCUAACUACGUGCCAGCAGCCGCGGUAAUACGUAGGGUGCAAGCGUUAAUCGGAAUUACUGGGCGUAAAGCGUGCGCAAGCGGUUUUGUAAGACAGAGGUGAAAUCCCCGGGCUCAACCUGGGAACUGCCUUUGUGACUGCAAGGCUUGAGUGCGGCAGAGGGGGGAUGGAAUUCCGCGUGUAGCAGUGAAAUGCGUAGGUAUGCGGAGGAACACCGAUGGCGAAGGCAAUCCCCUGGGCCUGCACUGACGCUCAUGCACGAAA